CGGGGUGUGGCGCAGCAUGGUAGCGCACCUGCAUGGGGUGCAGGGGGUCGCCGGUUCAAGUCCGGCCACCCCGACCA
rnacentral:tRNA from 1 species